rnacentral:lncRNA from 1 species
GGGAAACCAAAAGCUGUGGUGAGAGCAGCUGGGGUGAUUUUCUGGUGAAAGAACAUUGUGGAGCAGAGGGAUCACCACUCAAUGUGCUACCUGGAAGGGGUAAAGAAGAAAGGUUCAAGAGAAGGAUAGGUCUAAUUAUUAGUAGUGAUUUUAAUAAUAGCUCGUCAAUCACUGAUUGUCCAUAGUUUAGGAAGAAAAGAAGUCACCAGGCUUUGAAGUCAGUCCAUCUGUCCGUGCUUUUGAAACGGGAAUUGGGAGUGCAGGUUCUCCAGUGUACACGUGAGGAACAGAGUUUGUCUCAAAAGCCAUUCUGCAAAAACGAGAAGCAGAAAAGCUGUCCAGACCUUCUUUCCAGUCAGGGAAGCACCCAGCAUUGCCUUACUGAUGGACAGAGGCCUACCACAUAUCCGCAUGCGCUCAUGAGGGGUAGGGCUAGAGAGCCAGGUUUUCUUUCAUGUGACUAUAGAUGUCACUUGCUGUAAGCUGUCCUCUUUCUCAAGUGGGACGAUUGAUGAGUUAAUGAAUAGGAGAGAGGUUAAUUGGCCGUUCCUUUCUCCAGAUCCAAAGGCAUGUUCGUGACAGGACAGGGCACAACAUCCUCCAGAACGAAACGAAUGCAAAGGCCUUUGGCUUCCUGCUAAGAUUUCAGUACCUGUACAAAGCUGAUCGGUAGGCGCCUGAAAAUAUAAUGGGAAAUUCUUUGCAUGGAAUGUACGGCAUGAUAUUGUCAGAGGGCAUAAGAAUCUUGCUGCUGAGGGGGUCAGUGGAUCAGUCCUCAUCUGAAAUGGACUGAUGAGCGAGAAAUGAACGUAACCAAGGGAAAGAACGAUGGCUGACCCGAGUCUAAGAACUGGAGUUCUAAAAAUCCUAAGAAAAACAAAGGAAUACACUGAACCAGUGAAUGUGGGUAGUGAAGUCUGUGAGGAGCUGGUAUUUUGAGGAGUAUUUGGACAGCCAAUCUGCUACACGCAGCAGUACACUUGUGUGUUAGGGAUUAGUGCGAGGAGUGGUGGUGUCAUCUCUCAUCCAGCAGAGAGGAUGAGCUCAGUUUUGUACACCCUUUCGAUGUGCGCAGACGCUCCGGUGUGUUCAUUUCCUCGCUAGGUUAGAACCAAUUGAAAGCAUGUUUGUGUUCGUUUAAAUCACCUUCAGGCACGGUGAAGAAUAUCCCUUGCUUGACAAUCACACCGUAUUCACUUCCUUGCCUCUGGGCAGUACGUAUACCAGCGGUGGAGAACUAUUUUCUGUGGAGUAUUCAAUGUUAAUUUAUUGUUUUACUUGAUGACAAAGGCGUGUAAGCCCUGCUAGCGGCGCCGGGGGGGCGGCCUCUUGCAGGGCUGUGGAGCACCCAGGGCACUGCUGGCCCUCCUCUUCGUGGGCCGACGGG